UACGUAGGUGGCGAGCGUUAUCCGGAAUUACUGGGCGUAAAGCGCAAGCAGGCGGCAAUUUAAGUCUGACGUGAAAUCUCCUGGCUUAACUGGGAGAAGUCGUUGGAAACUGGAUUGCUUGAGGUGGUGAGAGGGGUGUGGAAUUCCCGGUGUAGUGGUGGAAUGCGUAGAUAUCGGGAGGAACACCAGAGGCGAAAGCGGCACCCUGGCACUUGCCUGACGCUGAGAUGCGAAAGCGUGGGGAGCAAACGGG
rnacentral:rRNA from 1 species